rnacentral:rRNA from 1 species
GACGAACGCUGGCGGCGUGCUUAACACAUGCAAGUCGAACGGAAAGGCCCGGCUUUUGUUGGGUGCUCGAUUGGCGAACAGGGGAGUAACACGUGAGUAACCUGCCCUUGACUUUGGGAGAACUUCAGGAAACUGGGGCUAAUACCGGAUAGGAGCUCCUGCUGCAUGGUGUGGGUUGGAAAGUGUCGGCGGUUGGGGAUGGAUUCGAGGCUUAUCAGCUUGUUGGUGGGGUAGUGGCUUACCAGGGCUUUGACGGGUAGCCGGCCUGGGAGCGGGACCGGGGUCAAGGGUCCUGAGAGAGGCCCCAGUCGCGAACGGGCGGCAGCGGUGGGGAAUAUGGCGCAGCGGGGGGAAGCCUGUUGUAGCAAUGCUGCGAUCGGGAUACUCGGUUAUUGGGUGAAAACAGCUGUGGCCUGAGCCGAAGCGUGAGUGACGGUAAUGGGUAAGGAAGCACCGGCUAACUACGUG